GGUAUGGCAGCUUUGCCUGAGUAGAAGUCUUUGAGAGAAAGAACUCAGGCUGCUGCAGCAGACAGAGUGGAGUGCCAUCUCCAGCUCACAGGGUGUCAUAAAAGGCAUUAUUGUAUAUGCUGGUUUCAAAAGGAAGUAGAAAGACAAUUAUUACAGACCAGCGGUAGGAAGACAUUGAAACAGGAGAACUACUUGGACCUUGGAGUUUGGGGCUAACCUGAACAUGGUUCAGUGGUAGAAGAUGUAGUUAUUAUGCAGUCUCAGGCUUGGUGGAGACAGGAUUGCAGUCUGGUGGGAAGAUUUCUUCUCCAACCCUGCCCUUUCAAUCUGAGGUAGAGGGACUGGCUGACUCCUGGACACCUGCCACUAGGACUUCACUGCCAUGACCUCUCUCUGGGUACGAUUCCCGAACCACCUGCCGCUGGGCAGCCAGGACCACUGGGACCAUGGCCACCCCGGUGAUCAGGCCAGAGUUCAGAGACUCACCUGGGACAUUUGCAAACUCGCCUUCGGUUCCCUAGACAAGGAAGAAGGGAGAGUAAAUAGCUCUUCAGAGUUGGAGUGAACACUCCAGUUAAAAAUAAAACAUUUAAACUUG